rnacentral:rRNA from 1 species
UACGUAGGGUGCAAGCGUUAAUCGGAAUUACUGGGCGUAAAGCGUGCGCAGGCGGUGAUGUAAGACAGAUGUGAAAUCCCCGGGCUCAACUUGGGAUCUGCAUUUGUGACUGCAUCGCUGGAGUGCGGCAGAGGGGGAUGGAAUUCCGCGUGUAGCAGUGAAAUGCGUAGAUAUGCGGAGGAACACCGAUGGCGAAGGCAAUCCCCUGGGCCUGCACUGACGCUCAUGCACGAAAGCGUGGGGAGCAAACAGG